GACGAACGCUGGCGGCGUGCCUAAUACAUGCGAGUAGAACGCUGAAGAGAGGAGCUUGCUCUUCUUGGAUGAGUUGCGAACGGGUGAGUAACGCGUAGGUAACCUGCCUUGUAGCGGGGGAUAACUAUUGGAAACGAUAGCUAAUACCGCAUAACAAUGGAUGACACAUGUCAUUUAUUUGAAAGGGGCAAUUGCUCCACUACAAGAUGGACCUGCGUUGUAUUAGCUAGUAGGUGAGGUAAUGGCUCACCUAGGCGACGAUACAUAGCCGACCUGAGAGGGUGAUCGGCCACACUGGGACGGAGACACGGCCCAGACUCCUACGGGAGGCAGCAGUAGGGAAUCUUCGGCAAUGGGGGCAACCCUGACCGAGCAACGCCGCGUGAGUGAAGAAGGUUUUCGGAUCGUAAAGCUCUGUUGUAAGUCAAGAACGGGUGUGAGAGUGGAAAGUUCACACUGUGACGGUAGCUUACCAGAAAGGGACGGCUAACUACGUG
rnacentral:rRNA from 1 species